AGAAAAGAACCUAGUAUUGAUGCUCUCUUAGAUGAAUCGGAAUGUGAGGCGUUAUCUGCAAAUUCUCCUCUCUGCUGGAUACUGCUAAGAAAGGAGAAAAGAGGAUGGACAUGAGGGGAAGCCAACUGCUAUGCUUGAUUGAGGACACUCAAGCAGCCUAUAGACAGGCCCAGGUGGUGAAGAACUAUG